rnacentral:rRNA from 1 species
CCUACGGGAGGCAGCAGUGGGGGAUAUUGCACAAUGGGGGAAACCCUGAUGCAGCGACGCCGCGUGGGUGAAGAAGUAUUUCGGUAUGUAAAGCCCUAUCAGCAGGGAAGAAAGAAGACGGUACCUGACUAAGAAGCCCCGGCUAACUACGUGCCAGCAGCCGCGGUAAUACGUAGGGGGCGAGCGUUAGCCGGAUUCACUGGGUGUAAAGGGAGCGUAGACGGCCGUGCAAGCCAGGAGUGAAAGCCCGGGGCCCAACCCCGGGACUGCUCUUGGAACUGUGCGGCUGGAGUGCGGGAGGGGCAGGCGGAAUUCCUGGUGUAGCGGUGAAAUGCGUAGAUAUCAGGAGGAACACCGGCGGCGAAGGCGGCCUGCUGGACCGCGACUGACGUUGAGGCUCGAAAGCGUGGGGAGCGAACAGGAUUAGAUACCCGUGUAGUC